rnacentral:rRNA from 1 species
UCACCAGACUCCUACGGGAGGCAGCAGUGAGGAAUAUUGGUCAAUGGGCGAGAGCCUGAACCAGCCAAGUCGCGUGAAGGAUGACGGCCCUACGGGUUGUAAACUUCUUUUGUCAGGGAGCAAUUGGGUCCACGCGUGGGCUUAGCGAGAGUACCUGAAGAAAAAGCAUCGGCUAACUCCGUGCCAGCAGCCGCGGUAAUACGGAGGAUGCGAGCGUUAUCCGGAUUUAUUGGGUUUAAAGGGUGCGCAGGCGGGAGAUCAAGUCAGCGGUAAAAUGUCGGGGCUCAACCCCGGCCGGCCGUUGAAACUGGCUUUCUAGAGUUGGAGAGAAGUAUGCGGAAUUCGUGGUGUAGCGGUGAAAUGCAUAGAUAUCGCGCAGAACUCCGAUUGCGAAGGCAGCGUACCGGCGCCAGACUGACGCUGAGGCACGAAAGCGUGGGGAUCGAACAGGAUUAGAUACCCCAGUA